rnacentral:siRNA from 1 species
AGCCCGGUGGUGGGUGAUGCAAGC